AGUCCAUGGUGUGGACAUUUUCGAAGCAAAUGUCUAAACCUUUUCCAUGUUUCAUAUAAUGACUCACCAUCCAAUUAACUAAAACUGGUUAUAUUCAGUCUAAGUUU